CUAAGAAUCUUCCACAAUGGACGGAAGUCUGAUGGAGCGACGCCGCGUGGACGAUGAAGGCCGUGAGGUUGUAAAGUCCUUUUCGGGAGGGGGAAUAACCUGGGGAGGGAAUGCCCCGGGGAUGACGUGAAUCCCGGAAUAAGCCCCGGCUAACUACGUGCCAGCAGCCGCGGUAAUACGUAGGGGGCGAGCGUUGUUCGGAAUCAUUGGGCGUAAAGGGUGCGCAGGUGGCCUUUCAAGUCUGGCGUUAAAGUUCGGGGCUCAACUCCGUGAUGCGCUGGAAACUGGAGGGCUAGAGUACAGCAGGGGGGCAUCGGAAUUCCAGGUGUAGGGGUGAAAUCUGUAGAUAUAAGGAAGAACACCAGUGGCGAAGGCGGAUUACUGGACGACAACUGACGGUGAGGCGCGAAAGCGUGGGGAGCAAACAGGAUUAGAUACCCUGGUAGU
rnacentral:rRNA from 1 species